GCUGGGCGUGGUGGCGCACGCCUGUAAUCCCAGUUACUUGGGAGGGUGAGGCAGAGAACUGCUUGAACCCGGGAGGUGGAGGUUGCAGUGAGCCGAGAUGGCGACACUGCACUCCAGCCUGGGUGAUAGAGCGACACUCCGUCCCCCCAGCAAAAAAAAAAAAAAAAAGACAGAGUCUCGCUCUAUCGCCCAGGCUAGAGUGCAGUGGCACAAUCUCAGCUCGCUGCAACCUCCACCUCCCGGGUUUAAGUCAUUCUUGUGCCUCAG
rnacentral:SRP_RNA from 1 species